GUUCAAGUUCAAGUUACGGGUUUCAACUUAGCAGCCCAGGGGUGGCUUCACAUUCACAUCUAAGUCUACUGGUGUUCUAAAUCUGUCCUGGAGAAACCCAUGAGUUGGCUGCUGAACGUUUCCGAUGCUUGAUGCUGUGACACACUCACUGACAAAUAUAAGAUUGCAUGUUGCUUGGGUGGAGACUAGAGAAUGGCAUUCUUCACCAUGAAACUGGACUUGACUUUGGAUAACCAACUACAUAAUUGAAAAGGGUCAUUCAUGAAGAAAAUUGUGUUUCGAAUGUUUUUUAUGGCCUGCUCUGUUGUUCAUUAAAAAUUGUAUGUUAUUCACCAGAGUGUUUUUUCAAGAAAACCUUUGCUUCAACAUUUUAUGUCAUUUAUCAGUGUUCAAAAAAAUUUUGUGACUAAUUUAAAUUGCUUAAUCCACUUGCAGGCUGCGCAGCAGUAUAUUUUGCAGAACUUGGAAGUUUUGCAAAAUUUACUGUUGCGCAGUAUGCAGGUGGAUUUAGGAAUUUAAUUUAGUUGGAAAAGUAGUUUUGAAUACAGUGAUAUUAUUCUUAAAAGUCAACUUAAACUGUACUAGAACUGCAGUGAGAACAAGGGGAGAACUGAGAAGGGAACUGCCGUAAACUGCAGUUGUCCAAAACUAUAGUUGCCAAAAACUAUAGUUGUCCGAAAUAACUGGUACUUUUACUACAGUUUAACUAUACUUUGGGCUUCACUCUUUUUGCACUCCAGCAAUAGUUAAACAUUAUUUUAACUGAAUUAAUAUGUUAGUUUUAACUAGAGUCAGUAACACAAAAAAACAGUAGAAUAUUGUUAUAGUCCAAACUACAGAUCCUUCCACCCGGGUGUUGU